AUUGUAUGUACGCAUAUCUUGGUCUUUUCACGUGUGUCUUUGGUUAGAUAAGGUUGCUUGCGCAAUGCUCGUUGAGAGAAAAAAGUAAAAAAUUCAUCAAUAUAUUGAGAAAUCAAAAGUGAAAAAAAGCAUUAUCUUACCACUCAUUCACCAGCUAUCCUAUAGCUCUGCCAUUUUAAUCAUCCUUUGUUAUAAAAUUAUUUAUCGGUAUUAUUAUUAUUAUUAUUAUUAUUAUUGUUAAUAUUUUUGUUUAUUGUUCAAGGAUUAGAGAUAAUCAAACUUAAAUGUGUCGAUUAUCAAACGGAUUUAUAUCAAAUCUAAUCAUUGAACAAUAAAAAAAAAAAAUUUUUGUUUCGUUAAAUUUUUUCCUUUCUCCUUUUAUUCAAUUAUUUAUCGGUAUUAUUGUUAUUAUCAUUAAUAUUUUUGUUUAUUGUUCGAGAGUUAGAGAUAAUCAAACUUCAUUGUGUCGAUUAUCAAACUGAAUUUAUUUCAAAUCUAAUUGAACAAUAAAAAAAAAUAAUCGAAAAUACAUAGUGUAUCCUUUCUUUUUUUCCUCCUUCUCUCUCCCUUCUUUUCUUUAUAAAACAUGGACUAGUAGUGAUGAUGAUGAUGAAUCUGAAGCCAAGCUUCCACAAACACCAAGUAAAAGAAAACCAAACAAUGAUCGUAGACAGAAGAAAAAAUUAAAAACUGAGCAAGCUGGUGGGAGUAGAAGCAAUUUUAGUGUAGAAGCCGGACAAAAUGGUCGUUUUGCUGUUGUCGAUAUUUAACAAUCACCAUCACCACCAAAGUCACCACCAAGACGAGUUUUAGCAUCAUCAGCAUAUCAACAUCAUUAUCACGAACGAUCAAUAAAAAAUCAUCUAUUAAAAAAAAAGUCAAAGCCAAUUGAUAAAAAUAAGUUGAUGACUGAUUAUUAUGCACCAACGAAUCCAACAACAAAACCAACAACAACAAUAAUAACAUCUGAAGCAUUAAAAGCAGCAGUAGAUGCAGCUGCUUCAUCAGUUUUAAAUGUUGAUCAUGAAAUGGUUGACUUGGUAACUCCACCAUCAUCACAAGUAUUUAUACCAUUAACACAAAAGUUAUCAAGUAGUGAUGGAAAUGGUGAUAAUAAUUAUCACAAAAAUUGUCUCAUUUAAGUACAGACAAUGAGUCUGAACAAGAUACAUUGCGUGGUAAUGAAAAUACUGUAAGUUCAAUUAAAACAGUCAAUACUGAAAUUUGAUGAAAAUGUCAAAGAUGAUGAUCAUGAUCAUGAUGCUGAUAUUGCUGUUAAUGCUGUU